AGAUGGUAAUCGAUUUUUCUUUUUUUUUUUCUUUUUUGUUUGUAAUCGGGCUGAAUAGGCUGUGUACGUGGGGUAGGUUGAGUAGAGCAACCUUUUAUUUUUUGUUGGAUUGGGCUUUAUAUUUAGGCAUUAGUAGAUUUUUUUAAAAGUUUUGGCAUAAAUGAAACACUUACACAAAAGUAUCCCAAACAUGUGUCCCUAUAACCUAAUUCUGUUGUAGUGAUUAGGGUAAAUAAGAUAAGUUGGAGACCAUUUAAGAGCAAAUAGGAAAAGUAAGAUAAUGUUAAGAACAAAUAAAAAGUAAGUAAUAGUAGAAUAUAUAUUUAAAUAGGCCAAAUAGUCAUUUCAUAGGGUAUAACAAAUUUUUUAACUGGUACACUAAUAGAUCUAAUUCUAAGUUAUAUCUGAAAGAGCUUGAAAUUUUAUAAGAGUAUUUUUUAGAAUAGCAAAGCUUUAGAAGAAUAAUUUUUAUAUUAGCCUCCUAAUUAAGAAGCAUAAAUUUGUAAGUCGAGAACUUUGUGAGGACAUAUAAUUAAGCAAUUUCUCCUUUUUAUUAAAAAAAAGUUACUUGACAAUUUGGUGAACAACAGUUGCCAAGUUCCUAACCACAUCUACCUCACAUGGUUCCAACCAUUUGACCUGUUAAACCAAAACGAAAACAAGAACAAAAACAACACAAAAAGCAUUCAUACCUGUCCAAAGCCAGGAAUGAUAAACAAAUUUAAUUUGACCUUGAAAUGCUUCGUAAUUAUAAAAUAUUUAUAGUCCCAUGUUACCUUAGAUUGGAAUGAGUUGGUAGCAUUAACAAUAAUAUUUUCGAAACCUUUGAACCACUUAGAAGGCCAUAAUGUUGGUUAUUGUUAUUUGUCCUUUUCAUUCUUGUGCCGCAUCUAAAAACAACUUACAACUUUAUGCCAAACAAAAAACAUAAAAGAAAUAUAUGUCACAAAUAAUAUAUAUAAAUAUAGAGUAGGGCUACUACACUCUUAUGAAUAUAUAUAGAGCUUUUUGUACUCAUAAGUUAUUUUUAAUAAUAAAGAUUCCGAAUCGACGGUUAACACCAUUAAAUAUAAUCUAGAGCAUUUAAAACAUAUUGAAAAUAAAUUUCAUAUAUAUAUAUAUAUAUAUAUAUAUAUAUAUAUAUAGAGAGAGAGAGAGAGAGAGAGAGAGAGAGAGAGAGAGAGAGAGAGAGAAGAGAGUUGACUGGGCCUACUAUUAUGUAGCAAAAAAUCUUUCAUUGUGCUAUCAGUUUUCUUCGCUUUGGAUCAACUCUUUUCAUUUAUUUUUAAACCAUUGCAAUUAAAUAUCUUAUAACCAGUAUGGGACGACUUAACCUCAGGUUUGGACACUCAACUCUAACCGACUAAUAUUAUCCUGACCCUAUAAUUUUUAUCCAAGGCGUAUAAAAAUUUGAUACAAAAAACUUUUAUAUUAUAUAGUAUUGCCAAAUAUAUAUCAUAUAUAUAAUAUAUAUAUAUAUAUAUAUAUAUAUAGCAGGGUUGCUGUGCUCUAAGCAGCACGGAGGCCUCCGUGUCCAAGCCGUUUUCGAUGAAUGGAUUCAACAUAAUGAUCGGCUUCCCGUUAACUGUAGUCUAGCUAUGCGCAUUUGCAAUUGUCUGAAAUAAAUUUUUUGCGAUUUUUCGAUAUUAUUUACCUCAGUGAUCGAAAGGAUUCAAAAUCCGUAAUUUUUAACGGUUGAUAUUGCUGUUUUCAAAGUUUAACGGUGUAAAGUAUUCAAUCAAGAUAAAUUUGAUAGAAAAUUCUUUAUACUAUCCUACAACAAGAUCUAUAUUUUCUGAUCGAAAUUUAGUGCAUAUCACCACUUUUUAUAGAAUUUUUAUUUUCAGCCGUUAAAAAUUAUUGAUUUUGAAUCCUUUCGAUUGCUAGGUAAUAUAUUCAAAAAUCGCAAAAAUAUAUUUUCUAGAAACUUUAAAUACGUAGAUCAAGUUUAACGGAGCCGAUCGUCGAUUCGAAAACUCGAUCAUCGAAAACAGCUCAGGAGCACGGAGCCUCCGUGCCUCUAAGAGCACAGCAGCCCCUGUCUAUAUAUAUAUAUAUAUAUAUAUAUAUAUUAUAUAUAUAUAUAUAUAUAUAUAUAUAUAUAUUAUAUAUAUAAGCUGGAAUCGUGUCUGAUAGCACCAAGAUCAGAUUUUUGGCCCUUGGAGUGAAAAGAUGUAGGGUGGUUGGUUUAAUAGUAUGAAAAUAGUCAAAAGCGGAUAUAUAUAUAUUUAUAUAUAUAUAUAUAUAUAUAUAAUAUAUAUAUAUAUUUAUAUAUAUAAUAUAUAUAUAUAUAUAGAGGAGAGUCCCACCAGAAUACUAGCACCAAGCACUUCAUGCUACCAAAUUUUCUACCGUUAGAUUUAUCUCUUUGACCAUUUCUAUCUCUUAGAUAAUAGUUUUCAAUUAAGCACUCACUCAACCCUAGAGGGCCACUAUCAUAAUAACCGCGUAUUCCUUCAUCCUGCGUAUUCCUUCAUCCAAGAACUGAAAAGCCUAAUAGCAUGACUAAGUGUUAUUAGAAGCAUUUCAGUCCAAUUCUAUAUACGAAGAUAUUAUAGGAUUAAAUAAGAAAACCCAAGGAGAUGGUGAUCUUUGAACCGCUUUAACCACUCAACACUCAAAAAUUAAACUCAACCCAGAGACAUUACAAAUUUAAAUAGUGAAACUAUUUUAAAUAGUAACCUACGGUAGAAAAAUUAUGUAGACUGUUUAACUCAUUCGAUUACAAAAGUGUUGUAGACUCUAAAAAACUAUUUAGUAAAUAUUCUGAUAAAAUACUGCCAAUUUAUGUAGAAUACUACAACUACCUAAAUACCCAUUAUUUUGAUUCCUCAAAAGAAUAAAAUUUUAUAUAGAGCUAAGCUGGUAUAUUAUCGGUAGCACGGAGGCUUCCGUGCUACCAAGUUGUUUUCAAUGAUGCGGUUUCCAAAUCGACGAUCGGCUCCGUUAGAUUUGAUCUACAUUAUUAAAAAUAUUUGGAAACUAAAUUUCAUAAUUUUUCGACAUCAUUUGGCUAGUAAUCAAAAGGUCUCAAAAUUGACAAUUUUAAUGGUGGAUGUGAUGCAUUUGUAAAUUUAACGGUAUAAAACAAUCCAAAUCAGAUGAAAUUUUUAUAGAAAAUUUUUUAUAUUAUUCAGAGUAAGAUCAGUAUCUCUGAUCUUAAAUUCAAGUCUUCUAUCAUCAUUUUUUAUGAGAUUUUUAUUUUCAGCCGUUUAUUUUUGGACUACUCGUUUGAUAGAUAAAUGAUACCGAAAAAUUAUGAAAUUUAGUUUCCAAAUAUUUUUGAUAGUAUAGAUCAUGUACAAUGUAGCCGAACGUCGAUUUGAAAGCCGCAUCAUUGAAAACAACUUGGUAGCACGGAGGCCUUCGUGCUACCGAUAGUAUACCAGCCUAGCUCUUUUAUAUAUCUCUUACAUAAGUUAACAAACAAAGGCCUCAUUUCUCACGUGCUAAAUUAUGUAAUCCGCAUAUCCGCCCGCCCGCCCACGGACGGAUAUAAGUAAGCAUGUUGGCUAUCCAAAAGUUUAUAAAUAAAUUCUAUCCAUGCCCAAAUGACUGGCGGGUAUGAUAACCUAUUCGCGGAUUAUCUAAUCUGCUUGUUUGCUAGGUCUAAAUGAGCCCUCUACUAGAUAUUCACUUUAUCCCUCCGACAUUAAGAAUGUCGACAGGUCAGAUUUUGUGUGCGUUUUUUUUUUUUUUUUUUUUUUUUUUUUUUUUUUUUUUUUUUUUUUUUUUUUUUUUUUUUUAAGUUUCAACUCCAACUUGACCCCCGAGUUGGAACCCAAAAAUCUAAACCCAGGCAAUCACUUCUCUUUACCAUUUUCAAAACAUAUUAUAUUAAAAUUUAAAACUUUAAAAUACAAAUCAAACAUUCAUAUUUAUUAUAUACUAAUAUAAAAUUUACUCAGGUUUGGGUCGGAUUUGGGCUCGGAUUGCAUGUAGACAAAUCGAUAACAGAAUCCAAAUCUGUCAUAUUUUUGUUUUUCAUAUUUAUAUCCAAAAUUACAUUCAUUUAGUAUUGAAUAAACCUGCCCUGUUCGGGUUCUGAUACUCCAAAGAGCGAGUAUAUUGACAAACAUUUCCGACAUAUGUUGCUCCCAUCAAAUUGAAUGAAGAAAAUGUCCCAACAUUUAGUUACCUUGAAAAAUUGUAAUUUCAUGAGGUAUAGUGUGUAACAGUACUAAGGCUAAAACUUUAUCCCCACUACAUUAUUACUAACUGAAUACCAAGGUGUUGUUUGGACACACAAAUAUUUUAUUCGACCUGUCUCUUUUAUUCAAAUUUGUAGUCUUUGCCAGAUACAGAGUGUAAGCAAAUAACUAGAAUGACAUAUAAUAUUCAACUUUUAAGUUAAUUUUUAAGCAAUAGGAUAAAUCACCUUAUACGAGAAAUAUGCUAUGAUAUUAAAUUAUGGACGUCAAAACCAAGACUUUUCAAAGAAAAAAAAGUUGUACAUUUUGCUUCAGGGACGAAGCCAGAAAUUAAAAUUCGGAGAGGGGCCAAGAUUUAGAUUUAAUAGGAAAAAAAUUCAACUUCGGAUAAUAAGAAAAAAAAUUUGUCAAAUUCACUGAUCAGUUAUUACUAGCAACAAUACAUGACAAUAUACCAAAAAGGAACAGACUGUAAAGAGUUGAAGGAAAUGACAAGAAUUUGAAAAAAAAAAAAAAAAAAAUGAGACACAAAUUUUAUUAAAAAAAUUAAUUUGGCCCCCUAAAAUUAAAAUUUAUAAUAUUUUAAUUUUUAUUACAAAGGACUUUUAUGUGAUUUUAAAAAAGUUAGGGGGGGCCAUGGCCACUGUGGGCCCCUCAAUGGCUCCGCUCCUGUUUUGUUUCUAAUUGCAUAAGAAAAUUCUCAUACAGACUAUUGAUUAGAUAACUUAUUUCGACAUCCAGAAACAUGAAAUUUAAAAAGCUGAAAACUGAAGCUCUGUCUGAAUGUCAAAAUAACAAAAUUAAUAAUAUCUUAUUUAGUAUGAUGAUUUUUUUUUCGUAUAGUUGAAAACUAAGAAUCUGAUUUUUUUUUUUUUGUACUUAUUGAAACAUCUUGAUAUAAAUGAUUUGGUAGGAUCUUUUAUUUUACCUCGGAGAUGAUUUAUCUCACUUCGAAAACUAACUUGAAGUCCGAAUAUAAUAUCUAUUCUAGACAUUUCCUCAUACAUCUCAUCUAUCACAUUUUACUGAAUUAGGUAUUCAUGUAUCCAAACAUGGCUUAGAAUUUUUGCUAGUUAUAGCUUGUAUAUUAUCCAAAUAGAAAUUUACAAACCAAACAUGUGUGUGGCCUCUUGUGAACCAGUACUAUGGUUGCUUAUAUGAUAUGUCCUUAUUAGGCCCACUUAUUACUUGAUGAUGUAAAUCCAAGAAUAAUUGGAGCCCAAUAGGAUAAUGGCCCAUUGAAUUAGUGCAAAGAGAUGGGCCACAAGCCCAUCGAAUUCGUGCGCCAUUAUCGGACGCGGGCUAGAAAGCCGAGUUCCUAAACCCUAAACUACUCUCGUUUUGAAAACUUCAAAAACAAAAUAUUUACGAACUAUUUCGGUCGGGGGGAUCGAGUUCUAAAUGAGAUCAAAAAGUCACUAGAGACCAGCCGUCUCUAGCGCAAGUAAUAAAAUAAAAGGUUUCGUGGUUGGUAUCUGAGAUUCGAAGUUCGAAACCGAAUGACUCUACAUUUUUAGUCUAAGUUUAUUUUUUUUAAAAAAAAUAAACGAAAUGAAUAACAUACUAUCUUUCUAAAGCAAAAAAAAAAAAAAAAAAAAAAAAAAAAGUCACGAAAGUGCCGUGAUCAAUGCACUACAUCUAGAAAUGUGCAGAUAGUAUUACUCGUUCGCGCCCUAUUUUAGUAAUUUCCUUUGCUUAUUUGAGUUCUUUGUAAGCUAGUAGGCGGCCGUCUGUCUUCUCCACCGGGUGGGGGUCGUAGGCCAGUGGACUGUCAGGACCAUCCCCAUUUUCUCUUCCCACGAAGCCCAGUCAAUGGGCGCAGCUGGCAGCUGCGUCACAAGUCACGACUUCCGGCCCCGAGUGGGCCCCACCCGCAUCUAGAAGCGACUUUUAAACUUCUUCUUUUUUUUUUUUUGACAAAUUACAUAAAAAACAUUGACUCUUUGGCACUUCUUCUUUUGACCAAUUGUAAGUGACCAAUUAAUUCUAGUCCCUUCGAAAAUUCAAAAAUUCUAUCACUAAUUAGUAAGACAAAUAUGUAACGCUCAAGAAAUAAAUCUAUUAUUAUUAUUAUUAUUUUCCAAAAAAUAUACUCUCCUGUUAUAAGCUGCAACAAUUAUAAAUUUAUAUUUAAAUAUACUCAGAAAUAUUUUAGAAAGAAUUCUCAUUAAACCUGUGCUUGUAAUUUUUUAAACGAUUCGUGCAACACUAUUAAUGGCGUGUUCCAUUAAAUUCCCUUUAUUAAUAUACCCUCUGCGCGAUCUUGUGGAGAGCAACGCUCCGCCCACAAUAUUUGUUAGUCAGAGAGUCGCGCUCUAUCUAUUGAAUAACCCUAACAGUUGAGAUUUAUCUCACACUUUUCUUAUAUGACCUAAGCUUAGCCGAGACUUAUCUCUCACUUCUAACUAGUAAUUGGUUCUAAUAUCAACUAUGACGCCCCACUUGUUAGAGAGUCAUCCAUUCUAAAAUUACUCUAACUCUAGCACACUUAACCUUCUUACUCUCUUGAAUUUAGUUAACAACCAGCCAAAAUAUUAUAGUUGAAUUAAAAGGUUUAGUCAUAUUAUAUCUCAUACGUAGAACUAUUUUCUAGAGUAUAACUGUUACAGUUUUGGUCAAAAAGUUUAGUUAAUAUGAUUUUCAAAAUAACCUUUUAUAUCAUAGGACAAUAUGGAAUUGAGCUACAAUACUUCUAGAAAUACCCAACUAUUUAAUACUUCCAUGUCAUUUUGUGAUGAUGGUAAUCUUCUGAAUCAACAAUCAGUACUAUUAUACAUUAAAUAUGUUUUAUGAACAUACUAGAAACAAAAUUUUAUAAUUUUUAAAUAUUACUUAUUUACUACCGACUAGUCUCCAGUACACUUUAUAUAUACCGUUGAAAUUGACACAAAUAGAAGAAUCCCACUAUUAUACUAUCAUGAGUACAAUCACUUUCAUACUUAUAAGUUGUUUUUGAUAAAAAAAAAAGCUUCCCAAUCAAAGAUCCAUUAAAAACACAUUUUUAAAAUAUUUAAAUUUAUAGAAAUUGAAUAUUAUAAUUUUUUAACAUCAUAUACCUUACAAUCAAAGAGCCUAAAAAUUAUUAUUUUUAACGGCCCAUAUGGAGCGCAUCCUAGUUAAUUGUGUAGAAAGUUGGAAUCGGUUGAAUUUUUAAUAGAAAAUUUUAUUCACCAUAUAUAUAUCAAGAUCCAUAACUCUGAUUUUGAAUUUAAGAACUCUAUCCCAUUAUUUUUAUGUGAUCGUUCGAUUCUAAUCGUUUAUUUUAUACUCAUUUGGUAGACUUUAUUAUAAAUUCGAAAUAUUAUAAAAUUUAGUUUUUCAAUAUGUUAAAUACUCUAUAUUAUAUUUAACAGUAUGAAUCGUUGAUUCGAAAGCUCUAUCAUUAAAAACGACUUGUUAAUAAGAAAGCCUCUAUACUCAUAAGAGGCUAGGGCUACUGUACUCAUAUGAGUAUAGAGUACUUUAUACUCAUAAGUUUUCGGUCGUUCGGAUGAAAAAAUGUGUGGUCCGGAUGAGAAUGGUUACGGUUAGAUUGAUAGUGGGCCCCCUACGGUUGAGUGGGUAGUUGGUUGAAUAGUAUAAUCUAACGGAUAAAAAUAAUUAAAAGGUAGAUCUAACGGCCAAACACUUAUGAGUACAAGAAGCUCUAUACUCAUAAGAGUAUAGUAGCCGGACUCCUCAUAAGAAUAUAAUAGCGUUACUCCAAACAGAAAUGAGGACUGUUCAAGUUAAGGAUGAAAAUGACACAACAUUCAUGUCCCACUUGUCAGUACUCUGAAAAGUAGGCAAAGUGGAAUUGCCUCCCCUCCACGGAAAAAGUCUAGAAUACAACAGUCACAUCGCUUAUACGGUGUUCCCAAUUAAUAAAAAUAGCUCCUCUCGCGAUUCACUCAUCCCAUCAUGAAUUUUAGAAAAAUAUUUUUAUUAGAUUUUUCUUUCAAAAUGAAAAAUAUGAUUAGUUAUCCCUCCACUAACUUUUAGUAUUCUAUGGUUUAAAGUGUAUCAUUUACAUACCCUGUGGUUUUAUUUUUCUCUUUUUGUUAUUCCCUCCAUUAAGUUUUUUUUCGUUAAAUCAAUGACAAAGGUAUAACUAAAGGGUAUUUAAGUAAAUAUUCGAUAAACUAUAGAUGGGAUAUCUGAAGUUUUUUGUGAAUGAUUUAAUGAAAAGUUAGCGGAGGGGCUAACGAAAAGAAAUAAAAAAUGAAUCCACAUGAUACUAAAUUGAUACACUUUAAAUCACAAGGCACUAAAAUGAGAAAGUGUAAAACCACAGAAAUGGUAUUUAAAGUUUACUCUAAAUAUUACUGAAAAGAUGAUAAUAAAGAGGUGUGCCGUGAUCUUUACGGUAAAAAAAAAAAAAGGAUUAUUCUUAGAUUCCUAUAAAAGAUGCUAAGCAGAGAUUUUUUUUGGAAAAAAAAAAAACUUAAAAAUUCAUAUGCAUAGGUAUAGAAGUCAGUUUUUUUUUUGUGUGUGUGUGUGUGUGUGUGUGUGUGUGUGUGUGUGUGUGUGUGU
rnacentral:lncRNA from 1 species